GACGUAGGGCGCGAGCGUUGUCCGGAUUUAUUGGGCGUAAAGAGCUCGUAGGCGGCUUGUCGCGUCGACUGUGAAAACCCGCGGCUCAACUGCGGGCUUGCAGUCGAUACGGGCAGGCUAGAGUUCGGUAGGGGAGACUGGAAUUCCUGGUGUAGCGGUGAAAUGCGCAGAUAUCAGGAGGAACACCGAUGGCGAAGGCAGGUCUCUGGGCUGUAACUGACGCUGAGGAGCGAAAGCAUGGGGAGCGAACAGG
rnacentral:rRNA from 1 species